CCAAUACAUGGACUUAUAUCCGACUCCUAACAACAAACAGGAAACAGAAUGCCAAUAUAUGGACUUAUAUCUGACUCUUAACAACAAAAAGGAAACAGAAUGCCAAUAUAUGGACUUAUAUCCGACUCCUAACAACAAAAAGGAAACAGAAUGCCAAUGUAUGGACUUAUAUCCGACUCCCAACCACCAAACAAAUGUCAAAAGCAAACACAUCAAAAG
rnacentral:lncRNA from 1 species